GAGAUGGUUCAGUGGUUAAGAGCACUGGCUACUCAUCCAGAGGACCUGGGUUCAAACCCCAGACAGCUCA
rnacentral:tRNA from 1 species